GGGUGUUGUUGAGCCUUCGGAGCAUAGGGCGCCUUUUUGAAGGCGACCGGCUCCCGGAUGGUCUCAGCUCCCGAAGAGGCUCCGCGGCCGGGCUGGAGCAGGCAGCGGGCGCGGGCCGAAGGUCCAGAGCUUUGUGUGAGGCAGCAGCAGCAUCGCGGGAGGUGAAGCUGGAUGUCGACGUUGGAGGUGACGUGUGCCCGGUGAGCCGUGACCGCUAGGCAGAAGCCGUUGCUGUCGCUGAAGUCUGACUCGGUGGUGCCAGUCUAAGCCUCCAGGACGAUGUUGCGGUGCAAAAGAGAGUUUGUCUGCCCGUGAUGCCAUUCCUUGAAGGAAGGGGAGAAUGUUCGAGCUUCUGGGCCACCCUGCAUCUUUUGGAUCUUGUCAGCCUGUCAGUUUCCUACGGCUUCCUCCUCUGAGUCUCGUGGUGGGUAUGUAUCUUUUUAUUUCCCAUAUG